UCUGGCUGGGGUUAAGCUACUACACCAAUAAAAAGCAACUGCAGCUGACAUGUUUACAGGAAAAGUGGUUGACUGGAAGCCAGUAAAUGUCACUAGAAGCUGUCACAGAUGAAGAAUAUCAGCUUCUACCUCUGAAGAGGAAGCAGCACUUCACAUCCUCUCUGCACUUCCCAAGUAACCAGGGAUAUGGACAGAAAUAAUGGGAGAGAUCCUUUGUUCCUUCCUAUAGGGAUUCCUCUACUCUGAAGUAAAUGCUGGUGGCUGGCGCCUCUGCCUCUCUCUAUCAGCCCCUGGCACUCACAAUAUGCUUCCACAGUUGGGCAGUUGUCGAGACGAAACCACUGUCUGGUGAGCGAACCGUGGCUGUCUCACAAUUUACCUGCCCUUCUCCAUCUGUCUGCACUCACCAGCUGUGCUUGAGCCCUUCAGGCAGGGACAGAAGAAUUGGAUGCACAUAAAGUACCUCUUCAGUGUGACCAGUGUAAAUAACUGUGUUGGGGUUCUCUGGGAGACAGAGAAGGAAGACAGAUGCACUAUUAAACAAACCCCCAUCACGAGGGAAAGAGCAGAAAUGAUCCUUGUAUCCAGAAUAAGUUAGAGAAUCCAAACUCUGUCUCCUUGGCUCCUACAAAACUGCAUCAGGAACCAAAGGGGUCUGACAACUACAAUUCCCUCUUAGAAGGUUUUGUCAAGCUCUGUAGAACUGUAUGUCAGAGUCUUUGGCGCUGACAGACUGACAAACACUUGGACUGUUACUUAUUACAUCACCUACCAAAUGGGUUUGAAUGCACAUUUCCUGCAGCUUGUCUUCCUCCUAACCUCAAAUAUGGAGCUGCAAAUUUUAGUACAUUUAAGAUGACUACAGAUAGUGAGGUAGGGUAGAAUUUGUCACACAUGAUCAUAUUCGUUUUGUAAAAAUAAGUUUAUUGUACUUGGCAUAGCAAUAAGAAAGCUAGGCUAGCUGGCCAGUCAGCCCUAAGAAAUAGUGAACAACAUCUGUUUAAGUCUCUGAAGUAACACAAUUCAUGCAUGGCAUUAGGUUAUGUUGCAUCAUUUAACACAACAUAAACCUCACUUACCUUUUCCUCCCUUUGCCACUUUCUUCCAGUUUAUUCUCACUCCAACUGGCUGCAAAAAUGCAUAACUGUCUUUGCUGCUUUAAAAUUGCUGGGUUUUCCCCUCUAAUUUUUGCAGCUAAUGUAAUUUUUUUUGUAUACUGCCUUUCUGGGAACCACUGAACCCACAUCCAAGAAGUGUUAUCUCUCCCUUAUGCAUCUCAUCAUAAGAAUUCUUUGUGGGGUUUUCUUGACUGAAGUCCUAUACAAAACUAAAUUGUAUUGUUAUGUCUGAGACGUUGUCAUACAGGAUGAGGCACAAAUCAUACCUAACCAAAUUUAAUGAAAGAUUGCCAUCAGGUGUCUAAAUGUCUCACUUGCCUGUUUAGUUGAGUUAUGGCAA
rnacentral:lncRNA from 1 species